rnacentral:rRNA from 1 species
GAUGAACGCUAGCGGCAGGCUUAACACAUGCAAGUCGAGGGGUAUAGUUCUUCGGAGCUAGAGACCGGCGCACGGGUGCGUAACGCGUAUGCAAUCUACCUUUCACAGAGGGAUAGCCCAGAGAAAUUUGGAUUAAUACCUCAUAGUAUUACAGGAUGGCAUCAUCUGGUAAUUAAAGUCACAACGGUGAAAGAUGAGCAUGCGUCCCAUUAGCUAGUUGGUAAGGUAACGGCUUACCAAGGCUACGAUGGGUAGGGGUCCUGAGAGGGAGAUCCCCCACACUGGUACUGAGACACGGACCAGACUCCUACGGGAGGCAGCAGUGAGGAAUAUUGGUCAAUGGACGCAAGUCUGAACCAGCCAUGCCGCGUGCAGGAUGACGGUCCUAUGGAUUGUAAACUGCUUUUGUACGAGAAGAAACACUCCUUCGUGAAGGAGCUUGACGGUAUCGUAAGAAUAAGGAUCGGCUAACUCCGUG